rnacentral:rRNA from 1 species
AACGAACGCUGGCGGCAUGCCUAACACAUGCAAGUCGAACGAGACCUUCGGGUCUAGUGGCGCACGGGUGCGUAACGCGUGGGAACCUGCCCUUAGGUUCGGAAUAAUUCCCCGAAAGGGGUGCUAAUACCGGAUAAUGUCUUCGGACCAAAGAUUUAUCGCCUUUGGAUGGGCCCGCGUUGGAUUAGCUAGUUGGUAGGGUAAAAGCCUACCAAGGCGACGAUCCAUAGCUGGUCUGAGAGGAUGAUCAGCCACACUGGGACUGAGACACGGCCCAGACUCCUACGGGAGGCAGCAGUGGGGAAUAUUGGACAAUGGGCGAAAGCCUGUUCCAGCAAUGCCGCGUGAGUGAUGAAGGCCUUAGGGUUGUAAAGCUCUUUUACCCGGGAUGAUAAUGACAGUACCGGGAGAAUAAGCUCCGGCUAACUCCGUG